CCUACGGGUGGCAGCAGUGGGGAAUAUUGCACAAUGGGCGCAAGCCUGAUGCAGCCAUGCCGCGUGUGUGAAGAAGGCCUUCGGGUUGUAAAGCACUUUCAGCGGGGAGGAAGGCGGUGAGGUUAAUAACCUCAUCGAUUGACGUUACCCGCAGAAGAAGCACCGGCUAACUCCGUGCCAGCGGCCGCGGUAAUACGGAGGGUGCAAGCGUUAAUCGGAAUUACUGGGCGUAAAGCGCACGCAGGCGGUCUGUCAAGUCGGAUGUGAAAUCCCCGGGCUCAACCUGGGAACUGCAUUCGAAACUGGCAGGCUAGAGUCUUGUAGAGGGGGGUAGAAUUCCAGGUGUAGCGGUGAAAUGCGUAGAGAUCUGGAGGAAUACCGGUGGCGAAGGCGGCCCCCUGGACAAAGACUGACGCUCAGGUGCGAAAGCGUGGGGAGCAAACAGGAUUAGAUACCCUAGUAGUC
rnacentral:rRNA from 1 species